GAGUACAGUGGCAUGAUCUUGGCUCGCUGCAAUCUCUGCCUCCUAGGUUCAAGCCAUUCUCCUGCCUCAGCUACUCAGAGUAGCUGUGACUACAGCUGCCUUCUCUACCAUCGCUGACCAUCCUUCACAUGCCUCCUGGCUUGACUUUCUAAGAAACCACCCACACACUGCUGCCCUUAGCCUUGCCAAUUACCUGCCUCCAUGUGGGCUCCCAGAGUGUGGAGAGGGUCUGCUCCAACUUCCAGAUGUAGGGGACUCUGGACCCAACUGAUGAAUGUGCUGUGAUCAAUGGAGCUGCCAGGUCCAUCAUGGUCCACCACAAAUGAGGACAGAACACAGGACACAAAUAAAAAGUUGGAAACUAUAGAAGUUUAAAUAAAUCGACCUUUCCCACCUGAGGAGGUGAAAUAAAACUUAGAUUCACUCCAUUUUGCUCAAAAUGUUUUUCUGGAUAAUAUUUUCACUCAAUUUGCCUGUCUACAGCCCCCAUUGUAUACUCUAUUAUCUAAAUAUAAGUUUGUGUUAGUCUAUCAUACCUUCUUCUGUAUUCUUUUACAUGUAUAUUCAACCAUUCAGCAAAGCUUUGUUGAGUGCCUAUCCUCUGUCAGGCACUAGGUCAGGUGCUGAGUGUACCCAGAUGUGUAAGAUCAGGGCUAUCUAUUGUAGCUUCACACAUGCAUCAAUUUUUCCCGGCCACAGGCUGGGUAUGAAGUAAGUGCCUGUCGUAGUAAUAGGCACUCAGCCCACUGUAGUCUGUGAGUUGAAAGUUAUUAUUUGAAUGUUUUAUUGGAAUUCCAUACACAAAAAUUAAUAAAAGUACG
rnacentral:lncRNA from 1 species